GUAGGGAAUCUUCCACAAUGGGCGCAAGCCUGAUGGAGCAACACCGCGUGAGUGAAGAAGGGUUUCGGCUCGUAAAGCUCUGUUGUUAGAGAAGAACGUGCGUGAGAGCAACUGUUCACGCAGUGACGGUAUCUAACCAGAAAGUCACGGCUAACUACGUGCCAGCAGCCGCGGUAAUACGUAGGUGGCAAGCGUUAUCCGGAUUUAUUGGGCGUAAAGCGAGCGCAGGCGGUUUGAUAAGUCUGAUGUGAAAGCCUUUGGCUUAACCAAAGAAGUGCAUCGGAAACUGUCAGACUUGAGUGCAGAAGAGGACAGUGGAACUCCAUGUGUAGCGGUGGAAUGCGUAGAUAUAUGGAAGAACACCAGUGGCGAAGGCGGCUGUCUGGUCUGCAACUGACGCUGAGGCUCGAAAGCAUGGGUAGCGAACAGGAUUAGAAACCCCGGUAGUCC
rnacentral:rRNA from 1 species